GGGGGAGGAGAAAAAAGGAGGGUCUUUUCUUUCUUUUGGGGGGGGCCGGGUUUUUUUACCGUGAGAAAAUUAGAGUGUUCAAAGCGGGCGCGAAAAAUCUCGCCGUUGAUUACGUCAGCAUGGGAUAAUGGAAUAGGCCCCCGUUCCUGUUUCCGUUGGUUUAUACAUUGGGAAUGGGGUAAUGAUUGAUAGGGAUAGUUGGGGGCAUCGAUAUUUAAUUGUCAGAGGUGAAAUUCUUGGAUUUAUGAAAGAUCGACUUCCGCGAAAGCAUUUGCCAAGGAUGUUUUCAUUAAUCAAGAACGAAAGUUAGGGGAUCGAAGACGAUCAGAUACCGUCGUAGUCUUAACCAUAAACCGUGCCGACCAGCGAUCGGGAGACGUCGCAUGGAUGACUCCCCCGGCAGCUUGUGAGAAAUCA
rnacentral:rRNA from 1 species